UACGGAGGGAGCUAGCGUUGUUCGGAAUUACUGGGCGUAAAGCGCGCGUAGGCGGCUUUGUAAGUUAGAGGUGAAAGCCCGGGGCUCAACUCCGGAACUGCCUUUAAGACUGCAUCGCUAGAAUCCGGGAGAGGUGAGUGGAAUUCCGAGUGUAGAGGUGAAAUUCGUAGAUAUUCGGAAGAACACCAGUGGCGAAGGCGACUCACUGGACACAUAUUGACGCUGAGGUGCGAAAGCGUGGGGAGCAAACAGG
rnacentral:rRNA from 1 species